CCCUUAGAUGUUCUGGGCUGCACGCGCGCUACACUGAAGCUAUCAACACGUUUUCCCUCCCUGAGAAGGGCGGGUAACCUUUUGAAUCAGCUUCGUGGUAGGGAUCGGGGCUUGCAAUUGUUCCCCGUGAACCAGGAAUUCCUAGUAGACGCGAGUCAUAAGCUCGCAUCGAUUAAGUCCCUGCCCUUUGUACACACCGCCCGUCGCUACUACAGAUUGAACGUUUUAGUGAGGCAUUUGGACCGACGCAUCUCAGUUUAACCGCUGGUUUGUGUUGGAAAGACUUCCAAACUUGAGCGUUUAGAGGAAGUAAAAGUCGUAACA
rnacentral:rRNA from 1 species